GAUAUUUGGUAUUUAAGUGAGCUGAACUUCUGAAGGCGCAAAAAAGUCCUCCUCUACCAUAGCAUUCAUAAUAAUCUCUUCGAGUUGUUUGAUUGUAUGAUACAAAAUUAAGAAUGACAGAUUCAGCAUUUAGAAUGCGCUUCAAUCCGAGGAACCAACCCAAGCAUAGAAACCAGUGCUGUACCCUUUAACUCAUCAAGGUAGUAAGAACACGUUUAAGUGAAAUAAACUUCCUCAUGUAAAUAUAUCCUUGUAUAUGUAGUUCAUGGCUUUUUUAGAAUCUUGUUCAAACAAUCAUUAAAUUCAGGAGUACCUCCCUCAUAAACCCCUCGUAAAAUCUUUCGCUUUUCAAAGUUUGAGGCGCUGUAUCGAUUCGAUGCAGCUUUCGGAGUGUCCUACCGGAUUCUCUGUCCAUCCUGUUGAAUCGGCUCAAUACAGAAGUAGUUAAAUCACACGGAAUAUACCUGGUGGAUUUUAGAGGUUGUAUGGUCAGUUGGAAAGGCCUCCGCACUACUGACUCGGAUUCGAGUCCCUUAGACACCAACAGUGGUCAGAUAUGCGUACACGGGCCCCCAGGGAAUAUCCUUAAAGUUUGAACGCGUUCUGAAUGUACACAUUUGAAUUACAAACAUUACAAACGCUAUUAAAAAGAGUGUAGUUUAAAUUUUAUCUUUUAUGAAAAAGAAAAAUAUUAUUUAAAAAAUUAACCGAAACGCCCUUUCCUAACUUUCAAGAAAACUUGAACAAUUUCGAUAAAUAUUCCGCUAAGAUAUUCUCUUGAUAAAUUGUUAUUUUCCCCAUAGUUACAAAUCUUUCAGAAUUUAUCGGAUAUUCACUUGAAUGGUUAAUGAUAUGCUAUAUUGUUUUGCAAUAACGACCGCAUUUUCAUCAAAAAAUUACUAAAAACCUAUUUCACACAAAUAAUUGUGAAAUAUCAAGCCCUCGGAUUUCACUGAGUCCGGAACCCCCAAAUUUAGAAUUUUAGGGGGCGUAAGUACAUCGACCUUGAAAUUGAAAUCCAUGUGCAGAAAGUGAGUUUAGAACCCUGGAUAAACGGAUAUUGAUUAAAUAUUCAACUUACUGAACAUUACAUUUAAUAACUGAACUGUUAAUGAUUGUCAUUAGGUACAUAAAUGAGUAUAUUAAGAACUGUCCGUAAUGACUUUAUUAUCCACACACCCUCAAAAAAAGUAGAAGAAAAAAAAAGAAUUGUUGAGGUUAUAUUACCCGCCCUCCCAGCGCAUACAAUCAUUUUUGAUUGAAUUCCUAAGAACUGGAUUUACUCGAGUACCUCAAAAUGGUUAGCGAGUCAUUAAGACAAUGGUAAAUGUUACUAGCUGAAGAAGAGGCGGGUUCUUAAAACCGGUGCAAAUAUUUGACUUGCGGACCCCGAGAUUUGGGAUGAGGGUCAUUUAUACCCUUCAAACUGGAUCUGAGAUUCCAGAAGAAUAGAGGCGUUAAGGAGUGGGAUUCUACAUUAACUGGUCGUCUGUUUGCCUACAGUCGGUAUCUUCAAACAUUAUUAGCAGAGAUCACGCUAAAGCUACAUACUGACGGUUUAAAGCAGAAAUCUGACCUCAAAUUUUGUUAUUUUUUAAAUUGAUAUAUAUUAAGUAUGCAAACUUCGAGAAAUGGAUAAAAAGUUUGAAAACAAUGAGACAAGCUAUAAGAAAAUUAUUUAUUUUCAAUGAUAUGAAUUGAAUUGUGACAAAUUGGCUAUUAGAUCAAGAGUUUGAAAGGCCCGAUAUAAUGUAUCACUAUUGACCAGUUAGCCUUUUCAGUAAGCCUACCACAAGGUGUCACCGAAAGCCUAAAAUGGGAAUAUUCACCUGUUGUUUUGGAGAGAAAAAAUUAUCACCGAUGUGCCAUCCCUCUUAGUCAUAUCUGCCUACCGAUCUUCAUAUCAUUAAA
rnacentral:lncRNA from 1 species